CCCGCUGAACUUAAGCAUAUCAAUACAGCGGAGGAAAAGAAACUAACAAGGAUUCCCCUAGUAACUGCGAGUGAAGCGGGCAAAAGCUCAAAUUUGAAAUCUGGCGGCUCUGCCGUCCGAGUUGUAUUCUGGAGAAGUGCCUUCCACGCCGGACCGUCCACAAGUCCCUUGGAACAGAGACGUCAUAGAGGGAGAGAAUCAUGUCUUUGAUCUACGGACCCCCGCCGCUCUGCCAUGCGCUCUCGAAGAGUCGAGUUGUUUGGGAAUGCAGCUCAAAAUGGGUGGUACAUUCCAUCUAAAGCUAGCUAUUGGCGACAGACCGAUAGCGAGCACGUACCGCGAGGGACAGAUGAAAAGCGCUUUGGAAAGAGAGUUAAACAGUACCUGAGAGUGUUGAUAGGGAAACGUUUGAAGUCCGUCGCGUCGGCCGAGACUCAACCCCGCCUUUUGGCCAGGGCGCCAUUGUCGGUCGACGGGGCAGCACCGGUUGCGAUUGUCGGAUAAAGGACGAGGGAACGUGGCAUCCUCCGGGGUGUGUUAUAGCCCUCGGUUCCGCUUGCGACGGUCGCGAUUGAGGAACUCGGCACGCCUUCUUUGGCCGGGGCUUCGGCUCACGUUAACGUGGCCGGGAAGCGGCGAGUAAUGUCUUUUCAGCGACCCCCUCCUGGCACACGGGAGGGGCGAAUCCGGUUAAGCCGCCGGGACUAGGCCCCUUUAGUGGGGGGGGUAUUCAUGGGCUUGGGGGUAAACCAUGGGCCUAGCUUGUUUCCCGGGGUGGAAAUUGUGAUCCCGGCCCCCAUUCCCCCCACAACGUACCGGAGCCCCGCCGCCAUUAAAGUGUAAAGGCCCUGGGGGGGCCUUAUUGAGGGGGGCUAAAACUCCCCCUUUGAUUGGCCGUUGGCCUCUUCACCUGGCCCGCCUUUCCCGGGGCGGGGAAACCCUGUUCGGUGGCCGGGCGGCUUUUUAUUGAAUCCCGGCCCAACCCCCUCGGGGGGGGGGGGCGCGGUUUUCCGGGGUUUGGGGGGGGCCGCGUUCCCCCCUUCCCUCCCCCCCCACCGGGACCCCCGGUGGCGCCCCCCGGCCCCAUUCCCGGGGGGGCGGGGGGA
rnacentral:rRNA from 1 species